rnacentral:rRNA from 1 species
GCUAAAAAGCUCGUAGUUGGAUUUCUGUUGAGGGCAGCUGGUCCGCUCUAUGAGCGUGCAUCUAGCUUGGCCUCGGCAUCCGCUCUGCAAACGUGUCUGCGCUUGAUUGCGUGGCGCGGAGGUAGGGCCUUUUACUUUGAGGAAAUUAGAGUGUUCACGGCAGGCUUACGCCUUGAAUAUAUUAGCAUGGAAUAAUAAUAUAGGAUCUUGGUUCUAUUUUGUUGGUUUCUAGAGCUAAGAUAAUGAUUAAUAGGGACAAUUGGGGGCAUUCGUAUUAACGCGUCAGAGGUGGAAUUCUUGGAUUGCGUUACGACGAACUACUGCGAAAGCAUUUGCCAAGGAUGUUUUCAUUGAUCAAGAACGAAAGUAAGGGGAUCGAAGACGAUUAGAUACCGUCGUAGUCUUUACCAUAAACUAUGCCAACUAGAGAUGGGGUGUCGUUCUUUUCUGACUCACUCCGCACCUUAUGAGAAAUCAAGGUCUUUGGGUUCCGGGGGGAGUAUGGUCGCAAGGCUGAAACUUAAAGGAAUUGACGGAAGGGCACCACCAGGAGUGGAGCCUGCGGCUUAAUUUGACUCAACACGGGGAAACUCACCAGGUCCAGACAUAGUAAGGAUUGACAGAUUGAUAGCUCUUUCCUGAUUCUAUGGGUGGUGGUGCAUGGGCCG